UGACGUCAAAUCAUCAUGCCCUUUAUGCCCUGGGCCACACACGUGCUACAAUGGCCGGUACAAAGGGUUGCGAACCCGCGAGGGGGAGCCAAUCCCAAAAAGCCGCUCUCAGUUCGGAUUGCAGGCUGCAACUCGCCUGCAUGAAGCCGGAAUCGCUAGUAAUCGCGGAUCAAGCAUGCCGCGGUGAAUACGUUCCCGGGCCUU
rnacentral:rRNA from 1 species